GACUAAUCUCGCGUCUCUGUCUCUCACGUUUUUCUGUCUCUAGCUGGAAAUUCCCCACCUGCAGCUUCUCAUGCCCGCGAUGCGCCGUCGCCACCUGCCAUCCCGGCCGCCGCCGGCCACAUCCUCCGCCACCGCUUGUCAGCGAGGGUCCGCCCCUGUUUUCUCCACCGGUUCCCCUUCACCGUGUAGUCUCCUCUCUCGCGCGCCCUCGCCCGCGUCUAACCCUAGCCGUGGGUUCGGAUCGGGCUGCCGGCGUUACUCCCCCACGCCAGCGCCUCUGGCUGCUCGUGCUGCUCCACCCCGACGUCCUAGAUCUCAACCUCGAGACCAGCUCCACUACCCAGACGCCGACAACCACCUCCUGGUUCCCCGCGUCGACCUCACCAUCUCGGCCUUCGAUUGUGUUGUUCAGCUGCUGCCACUAGCUGUUGCCUCCCGCACCAUGGUGCGGUGGUAGGCUGCAACUAUCCCGGCUCCUCUCGGAUGGCUACGAAGUCGCCUUCCUCCACUGCUGCCUUGGCCACGCUGCGAGGGUAAUCUCUGAUUCUCCCCAAUUUCCUCUCAUACAUGGUGAUGAUUCAGUGAUCUGGCUAGUGAGCUAUGGUGUUAAUCCAUGGGAUUUUUGGGUGUAUAAAUGGUCCCCUUCAUAAUGAGCUACUAGGAAUAGGAUGGUGCUAUCUAGUUAGGUGUUUGAUAAAUCUGUACAGGUUAGUCUCCUACUAGUUCUAUGAUGUGCUAGGAGCAUAAGGCAGGUUAUGGUGAUCUACUCGACUAGUGCUAUGUGUUAAUUGUUGUGAUGAUAUGCUGCUGGUUUGCUGAUGUUUCUAGCUAUAGGAUUUAUAACCGAAAAUUCAUGGUUAUGUCCUUUUGUUCUUGCUAAUUAAUAUAUACAUAUGUAGGUGUUUAUCAAAAUAGAACAGAUGUAUUUCUUUAUUUAGCAAUCCGGUAAAUAGUUCCUCGAUGCCAUUUUACAAGAAAUGGUCUCUACUUACUUUGGAUUUCCACACAAACUAGUUCUCAGAUCAUGUGUAAGUGAUGUGCAUGAGUGAUCAUAGAGGAUAUAUCUAUGUUGUAAUAUAAUUUACUUGCAGGAACAAUUUCUAUAUCUAUUCCUGCAAAUUACAAGCACUUAUUCUUAUAUAAAUAAUGCAAUAGAAAUGGUUUUACAGGUUUACACUUGUUUGUGGUAUAUAUAUUUAUUUGUGGUUGAUUACUUGAUGAUUGUAGAUGCAUUUCCUAUUAUAAGCUUGCUGCCAGAUAUUUAUAAGGAUGUUUGUGAAUGUCCAAGUUUUAACUUGAGCUUAAUGUGGUGGUUUUGUUGCCUAAUCUAGUUCAUGUUAUUAAAAUAAUGUUCUGUAGUCAUCACAUAUAUUUAUAAGGCGUCGCAGUGCAUGUAUGUGAUAAGAACAGAUACAACUAUGCCUGUCUAGAUUGUUGGUGAUGAACUUCUAGGGCUGGCUACUAUUGUGGUAUUCCAGGGAAUUACUUGGUAACUUUAAAGCUAGUUUAGAUGGUCUUUGGACUACAUAAUCAUAUAUUUGUAAGAUAUUGCACAACUUUGUGUUGGUAUGUGUGUAAAGUAACCCCUCUUGAUCUCCUAGACGAUCUAGUUGCAGAUCAGUAGGUUUUGGUUAUUUGUUCACUCAUAUACAAUUUCUAAUGUGUUUUAUUUGAUAAGACCCGAUGCUAUGCUUGCUUUCUUAGCACUGCCUGUGAUGCGAAGGCUGAGGCACAGAUUCCUCGAGGGAUAGAUACUAAGAUUUGGCUUUCCAAAUUCUCUGUGAUGAGCUUGCAUGAGUAUUAUUAUGCAGACUGAGAGAAAUCUUCAUCCACAAUUCACUUUGUAUUUUCUUGUUCUUUCUUUUUUAUUUAAAGCUGAUAGGUUCGGAUAGAUAUUGUCUUAGAUGUUGCUGUCUAAAGAUUUCUAGCUCCUGGCUAUUGCCAGUGAUCAUCAGUCCAAGUACUGUUGAUCUUGAGCAUGUAGAUGUUGAUGCUUUACUAUUUCCCUCUUCCCUUAUAUGCUGCUAUGAAUAGAUGCUAUUAUUAACUUGUUGCCUAACAACCUGUUGUUGUAGAGUAGCUUUGUCUUCUGGAUUCUGAAUAACCUGCUUCUUGUGGAUAGCCUGCUCCUCCUCGCUGCUUGUAUAUUUCCAAAGAUCUAACAAUUGAUUUUUUGUGGCUGAUUUGGCUGUUCUUGUUAUUCUUCUAAUGGAUCUGGGUGUGUUUGAGUACUGGAUGAGGGAUAGAUGACUGCUAGGGAUCUGAUAGUCUGAUCUUUUUAUCUUUCUGUUCUAAGGCUGAUAAUCCUGGUACUGGAUAGUAUUCUUGUGCAUGAGCUAAGCUGUUGAUGCUUGUAUAUGCUCAAGGAAUGGUUGGUACUGCUUUGGCUGCUGGGAGAGACAAAUGAUUCGGCAGGUUGUUGUAGCCUUACUUUUAUACUGCUGGGCAGUUGCUGUGGUGGUGACAACACAUAGGUUGCAUGUAGUGAGUAAGCUGCCUGCGUAGUCUCUUUGAAGUGCAAGUGGUCAAACUGGUUUGCCUUGCUUCCAAGUGCAAGCAUACGGCUGGCAGGAAAACAGAGAUCAAUGGAGGAUUGAGAAGAUUUAGAUUUAGGAAUUCUUUUAUUUCCUUGUAAUCUUCUAUUACUUUUGUAAAGAGAAUAUAUAAUUGUGUAAUGGUUGUACAAUUUCAAUGGAUGUAUGAUGAUUUGUAAUAUUUAGUUUUUGACCAAACAAUCUUAUUUUACUUACACUUAUUUGAUUUAUAAUUUCUGAAAUUA